UUGGCUUGGUAUCAAGAGAUUCCAGAAUUUUCCACUUUUUAGUAAGUGAUUGAAUAGUACUGGCUGGCAUUUGUUCAAUGAACUUGUUCAAUGAACAGUUCAUUUCUGCUCCCCAUAGCUCAGUGUCUAGCCUGCUCAGGGCAUCCAUAUGAGAGCUAACAAACUCAUUGACUAUUUAUACAGAGACACUAAUUGCAAUUUAAAAAGCCACAGCUAUGGGAAAUCACCCUUUUUUUCCUGUUCAGUCAUAUUUUCAAAAUCAAUACCAAAAU